GAUGGAGAACGUAGCGAAAUGCGAUAAGUAAUGUGAAUUGCAGAAUUCAGUGAAUCAUCGAAUCUUUGAACGCACAUUGCGCCCGCUGGUAUUCCGGCGGGCAUGCCUGUUCGAGCGUCAUUUCAACCCUCAAGCUCUCCGGAGUUUGGUGUUGGGGCGCCUGGGGCUUUUCGACCUCAGGGCCCUCAAGUCCAUCGGCGGGACCGCCAGGACACUGAGCGCAGUAGUAUUAUUUCGCUCGGUAGGAUCUUCCACGGCGGGUCGAUCUGGCCGCUAAACCCCCCAAUUCUCACCAAAGGUUGACCUCGGAUCAGGUAGGAAUACCCGCUGAACUUAAGCAUAUCAAUAAGCGGAGGA
rnacentral:misc_RNA from 1 species